rnacentral:rRNA from 1 species
AUUGAACGCUGGCGGCAGGCCUAACACAUGCAAGUCGAGCGGUAACACAGGGAGCUUGCUCCUGGGUGACGAGCGGCGGACGGGUGAGUAAUGUCUGGGAAACUGCCUGAUGGAGGGGGAUAACUACUGGAAACGGUAGCUAAUACCGCAUAACGUCGCAAGACCAAAGAGGGGGACCUUCGGGCCUCUUGCCAUCAGAUGUGCCCAGAUGGGAUUAGCUAGUAGGUGGGGUAACGGCUCACCUAGGCGACGAUCCCUAGCUGGUCUGAGAGGAGGACCAGCCACACUGGAACGAGGACACGGUCCAGACUCCUACGGGAGGAAGCAGUGGGGAAUAUUGCACAAUGGGCGCAAGCCUGAUGCAGCCAUGCCGCGUGUAUGAAGAAGGCCUUCGGGUUGUAAAGUACUUUCAGCGGGGAGGAAGGCGAUAAGGUUAAUAACCUUGUCGAUUGACGUUACCCGCAGAAGAAGCACCGGCUAACUACGUGCCAGCCGCCGCCGUAAUAC